rnacentral:misc_RNA from 1 species
CUGAGUACUUACUCUCUACCCUUUGUGAACUAUUAUACCUGUUGCUUCGGCGGCGCCCGCGAGGGUGCCCGCCGGUCUCAUCAGAAUCUCUGUUUUCGAACCCGACGAUACUUCUGAGUGUUCUUAGCGAACUGUCA